AGUCACUGACAUUAGAUACCCCCGUAGUCCCAGCCGUAAACUAUGCGCGUUAGGUGUGUCGGUAACCACGUGUUACUGAUGCGCCGAAGAGAAAUCGUGAAACGCACCACCUGGGAAGUACGGUCGCAAGGCUGAAACUUAAAGGAAUUGGCGGGGGAGCACCACAACAGGUGGAGCCUGCGGUUUAAUUGGAUUCAACGCCGGACAUCUCACCGGAUAAGACAGCUGAAUGAUUGUCAAUCUGAAGGUUUUACAUGACUAGCUG
rnacentral:rRNA from 1 species